rnacentral:rRNA from 1 species
GAUGAACGCUGGCGGCGUGCCUAAUACAUGCAAGUCGAGCGAACGGACGAGACGCUUGCUUCUCUGAUGUUAGCGGCGGACGGGUGAGUAACACGUGGAUAACCUACCUAUAAGACUGGGAUAACUUCGGGAAACCGGAGCUAAUACCGGAUAAUAUUUUGAAGCGCAUGGUUCAAAAGUGAAAGACGGUCUUGCUGUCACUUAUAGCUGGAUCCGCGCUGCAUGAGCUAGUUGGUAAGGUAACGGCUUAUCACGGCAACGAUGCAUAGCCGACGUGAGGGAGUGGUCGGCCACACGGGAACUGAGACACGGACCAGACUACUACGGGAGGCAGCAGUAGGGAAUCUGCCGCAAUGGGCGAAAGCCUGACGGAGCAACGCCGCGUGAGUGAUGAAGGUCUUCGGAUCGUAAAACUCUGUUAUUAGGGAAGAACAGAUGUGUAAGGAACUGUGCACAGCUUGACGGUACCUAGUCAGAAAGCCACGGCUAACUACGUG